GGUGAGGUAAUGGCUCACCAAGGCUAAGACGGGUAGCUGGCGUGAGAGCGCGGUCAGCCACCAUGGGAACUGAGACACGGUCCAUACUCCUACGGGAGGCAGCAAUUAGGAAUCUUGCGCAAUGGGGGCAACCCUGACGCAGCGACACAGUGUGGAGGAGGAAGGUCUUCGGAUUGUAAACUCCUUUUAUGAGGGAAGAAUAGAUGACGGUACCUCAUGAAUAAGCACCUGCUAACUACGUGCCAGAAGCAUCGGUGAUGCGUAGGGUGCGAACGUUAUCCGGAUUUAUUGGGCGUAUAGAGAAGCGUAGGUGUUUUUGUAAGUCUUUAGUUAAAUACCACGGCUCAACCGUGGGGAAGCUUCGGAAACUACAGAAAUUGAGACAGGAAUGGGCGAAUGGAAUUCCCAGUGGAGCGGUGAAAUGCGUUGAUAUUGGGAGGAACAUCAGUGGCGAAGGCGAUUCGCUGGUCCUUGUCUGACACUAAGGCUCGAAAGCGUGGGGAGCGAAACGGAUUAGAUACCCGUGUAGUCCACGCCGUAAACAAUGGACGCUAGGUGUUCGGUACAACUACUUAAUCCUUCGGGAUUGAAUGGA
rnacentral:rRNA from 1 species